rnacentral:tRNA from 1 species
GCCUGGGUGGCUCAGUCUGUUGAGCGUCCGAAUUCGGCUCAGGUCAUGAUCUCACAGUUGGUGGGUUCGAGUCCCGCAUCAGGCU